rnacentral:rRNA from 1 species
GACGAACGCUGGCGGCGUGCUUAACACAUGCAAGUCGAACGGAGUGGCGAACGGGUGCGUAAUGUAUCGGAACGUGCCCAGUAGCGGGGGAUAACUACGCGAAAGCGUAGCUAAUACCGCAUACUAUUGGACCGGCGGCUAUCGGCUUAGCUAGUUGGUGGGGUAACGGCUCACCAAGGCGACGCUCCGUAGCUGGUUUGAGAGGACGACCAGCCACACUGGGACUGAGACACGGCCCAGACUCCUACGGGAGGCAGCAGUGGGGAAUUUUGGACAAUGGGGGCAACCCUGAUCCAGCCAUCCCGCGUGUGCGAUGAAGGCCUUCGGGUUGUAAAGCACUUUUGGCAGGAAAGCGGUACCUGCAGAAUAAGCACCGGCUAACUACGUGCCAGCCGCCGCGGUAAUAC